AACCGCGAAUGGCUCAUUAAAUCAGUCGAGGUUCCUUAGAUGACACGAUCCUACUUGGAUAACUGUGGCAAUUCUAGAGCUAAUACAUGCUUACCAAGCUCCGACCUUUAUUGGAAAGAGCGCUUUUAUUAGUUCAAAACCAAUCGCCGUCCUUUCGCGAGGGCGGUGUCCCCAUUGGUGACUCUGGAUAACUUUGUGCUGAUCGCAUGGCCUUCGUGCCGGCGACGCAUCUUUCAAAUGUCUGCCCUAUCAAAUGUCGAUGGUACGUGAUAUGCCUACCAUGUUUGUAACGGGUAACGGGGAAUCAGGG
rnacentral:rRNA from 1 species